ACGGCUACCUUGUUACGACUUCACCCCAGUCAUGAAUCACUCCGUGGUAACCGUCCCCCUUGCGGUUAGACUAGCUACUUCUGGAGCAACCCACUCCCAUGGUGUGACGGGCGGUGUGUACAAGGCCCGGGAACGUAUUCACCGUGACAUUCUGAUUCACGAUUACUAGCGAUUCCGACUUCACGCAGUCGAGUUGCAGACUGCGAUCCGGACUACGAUCGGUUUUAUGGGAUUAGCUCCACCUCGCGGCUUGGCAACCCUUUGUACCGACCAUUGUAGCACGUGUGUAGCCCUGGCCGUAAGGGCCAUGAUGACUUGACGUCA
rnacentral:rRNA from 1 species